rnacentral:lncRNA from 1 species
UUAUUUUUCUAUUUUUUGUCUUUGAUUUUUUUCUAAAGAUUUGUAUUAAUUUAUUUGACACAGGGAGAGAGAGAGAGAGAGAGAGAGAGCACAAACACAAGCAGGGGAGCAGCAGCCAGAAGGAUUUCAGCAUUUGAAGAAUCAGCCAACUCUCUCAGACUUUGUGGUCCAGUUUCCUACAGUGAAGACUUUAUCCCCUCAUUACUGCUGGAGAUUUGGGAGACCCUUCAAGCCUUUUCUGAGUGUAUAUCCUCUCUGCGGUUUUGAAUGAAAUCUCCAAAUUGAAGAACUUUGGUUGUUUCUGCUUGGAGCUCUCCCUGGGGUUUAUGAUACUGUACCUUCUCAGUUGCUGUAGUAAACCACUAUUCUGAGAUUCCACCUAGUCUUCAUCUAUGAUACUGUAGACUCAAGUACAUAGUUGAUACAUUU